CCUCCACUCACACACACUCGGACACAUGCAGGGCGAACGGGUCAGCUGCAGCGCCUAAAAGUGCUGAAAGUCUCCGUUGGCUGGUGAAAAAGAGAGAGUCAUCCAUCUGCUGCUUCUAGUUCUCGACUGUUAAGGACUUACAGCUUGUCCCAGAUGCAGCCAUGAAGAAUCCACAGUAACAAUCACGCUGCAGGUGACAAAGAAAUUGACCAGAGACCUCCACAUCUGUUAAGAGCCGAGUACAUUUAACAUUAUUGGGUAGGGAUCAGAUGUUCAUUUCCUGUCUGCCUCUCUCUCUUCCACACAUGCUCUAUAUAGACAUUCACUGACCACUUUAUGUACACCUUACUUAAGCCUGUUUGCAAAUUACAUUACGUCACUGCGUUGCUGUGGCACAUACUGGAGGGCAGGAAGUGAUUUUCCUAGAAGGCACUGUCACAGGUUCUCAAAAUGCCUAUGGUUCACGUAGUGUAUGGUUGCUAAAUUAGUUCUAACUGAGAAACUACAAGGAGCUUUUAUCAGGUACCAAAGCUCGUUGUUCAUUGGGGGAAAAUUGCAAGAAAUUGACCAAAAACGCCAGUAAAAAUAUAUUUUGCACAGUUCAUCUGUGGGUGUGCACAGGUGAUAGAUUUAAAAGAUACAAGCACUUGCACUAAAAUCAGGGUUAACAGUUAAACAAAAGACGGGUGAACAAACAAGUUGCUUACAUCUGCUGCCUCAAUAGCAGGGAGGUCUUUUAAUUCAGUUGGAAAUAAACACUCCUCUUGAAAACAUAAGGAUCAACAUAAGUUGUAAUUUUCUCUCAUAAUAUAGUCUAAACUAGCAUAGUAUGGGCUUGCCUCCAUCUUGUUUUUCGCUUUACACUUCCUGCCCUCCAUCUGGAAUUUGCAUGUCAUUCGAACCAUAUGACUUUAGAGAUUGUAUUAGAGAUUGUAGUCCAUCUGUUUCUCUGCAUAAUUUG